AAACUUUCAACAACGGAUCUCUUGGUUCUGGCAUCGAUGAAGAACGCAGCGAAAUGCGAUAAGUAAUGUGAAUUGCAGAACUCAGUGAAUCAUCGAAUCUUUGAACGCACAUUGCGCCCAUUAGUAUUCUAGUGGGCAUGCCUAUUCGAGCGUCAUUU
rnacentral:rRNA from 1 species